rnacentral:lncRNA from 1 species
UGUACUUGGCACAGCCUUGCUUCUAGAAGUUUCCUCUAGUAAAUUCAUUUCAUGGAUGCUGAGAGAACCAUCGCCUGUUAUUGACUCUUGCUUCUCAGAAACCUACAGUUCUCCUCGUAAUGGAGCAGUCUUCACAGCACUGUUCGUGUGACCCUCCUAUGACAGUCAUGGCAGGAAAGGAAAGCAGAAAGCUUCUGCAGUACUCAGCUGGGUCAAGGUAGAACUUCAAAGACCAAGCAGAAAGCUUCUGCAGUACUCAGCUGGGUCAAGGUAGAACUUCAAAGACCAAGCAGAAAGCUUCUGCAGUACUCAGCUGGGUCAAGGUAGAACUUCAAAGACCAAGCAGAAAGCUUCUGCAGUACUCAGCUGGGUCAAAGACCAGCUGCACUGGAGAAGAUGGCCCUGUUCACCCUGUGGAACAGCCUGGAGGUCAUGGCUACAAACCUACCUUCUCGUAGCAGAGACAUGACACUAGGUCAGACGGCUAGUUCUGCGAGAAAUAAAAAUGACAGUUGGACAUUUGGUAUCCUAUAGAACGAGUAUCUGUUUACUGAAUUUUUACGCUAUCAUCUGGUGGUUUUGGCAUUACUGGGAUGCAAUUUUAGUUUUUUUGUGUGCAGAGAAUAGCCACUUGUUUGGGUUUCUGAGGUCAUUUCUCACAUUUCUGCUCCAGAAAUGAGUGCAUUCCAUAAAUAUAUUUUUACUGCAAAGUCUAAUUUGCUUGCUUUCUUAAUGUGAGCCCAUCUCCUUUCUAAAAUCCUGGUUUUCUCAAAAAUGCUAGUUAGUUGCUGUCUUCUUACUAAUGUUGACAACAUCUUAUCAUCAAAUACUUACUUUGUAUUCUGUCCAGCCCUGUCCCUGGCAUAUAAUAAAUAUUUUAGAGGCUCUUUCUACUGCAGUUUCUUCCAAAAUUCCAUUUAUUUGAGGUUGAUGAGCUUCCUUUUUCUUUUUGUUUUUUGGUUUGUUUGUUUUUUGUAGAGACAUGGUCUCGCUUUGUCACCCAGGCUGGAGUGCAGUGGUGUGAUCAUAGCUCACUGUAGCCUCAAACUCCUGGGCACAAGCGACCCUCCAGCCUCAGCCUCCCAAGUAGCUGGGACUACAGGUCCACUGCCACACCCAGAUAAUCUUUAAAAUUUUUUUAGAGAUGGAGUCUUGUUAUGUUGCCCAGGCUAGUCUUGAA